GAUGACUUUGUAAAAAUGUUUUCAGGGAAACUAAAACCAACAAUGGCAUUCAUGUCAGGGAAAUUGAAGAUUAAAGGUAACAUGGCCCUAGCAAUCAAAUUGGAGAAGCUAAUGAAUCAGAUGAAUGCCAGACUGUGAAGGAAAAUAUAAAAAAAAAGUCGACUGCUAUGCUCAAAAAGUAAAAAAAGCUCAACAGUUAAAAUCUAAUGUUUGUUUUCUUUCCUGUUAUAUUAUAAGGAUAUGCACGUUUGUUCUGGAAAAGAUAGAAUUUGUCUCUAAAAGACUUGAAAUUGUAAUUAAAAUGGCAAGCUAAUCAAACAUAAGCUUCAUUAAGUGGGAUUCUAAGACAGUCUGUGUUUUUAUAUUUCAAGGGUUUAACCCUUUGAGCCUUACAUCUCAUUCACUGUCUUUCUCCAAGAAAAGUAUUUUGGGCGGACAGUCAGAUCAAGCAGUAAAAUUAGCUCUUUCAAAUCUUCUUGUCAUGUAAAAUGAAGCUAGUCUGUUUUAAAAUUUUUAGUUUUGGAUUGUAUACUAAUGAAAAUCUUAAUGAUGUUUUUGAUUUUUAUAUACUUAUUUUAAAGAAAAUCUUAUAUAGUACAUUUUACAAAAAUUAUAAAAAAUGAAUUAGUACUGGCGAGGACUAAAUGAAACAAUAAUUUUUCAUUUUGAUAACUAGCUUUCCAGGUGGACUUAGCCAUAGGAAAAUAUUACUAAUGUAAUUUAACAAAUUGCUGCAUGUAUUCCAUUUAAAAAUAUGUUUAAAUUGUCCUAAAACAAAAUAAUUUUCUCCCUAGGAGUAUGCAUUUGGCUACAGUGUUUUGAAACAGAAACCUUAGAAUAGGUCAUUGGUAUGGGCUGAACUGUGUAUCCCCCAAUUCAUUUGUUGAGGUCCUAACUCCCAUUUCUUUUGAAUGUGACUGUUCGGAGAUGAGGCCUUUAAAGAGGUGACUUAAGUUCAAAGGAGGCUGUUAGUCUAAUCCAACAUGGUGUCCUUUGGACAUAAGAGAUACCAGCAAUGUGUGCACAGAACAAAGACCAGGAGAGGACACAGUGAGAAGGCAGUUAUCUGCAAGCAAAGAGAGAGGCUUCAGAAGAAACAAAAUCACCAGCACCUUGAUCUUUGACUUCUAAUCUCCAGAAUAGUGAGAAAUAAAUUUCUGUUGUUAAGCCGUCCACUGUGGGAGGCCGACGCAGGAGGAUUGCUUGAGGCCAGGAGUUCAAGGCCAGCCUGGACAACAUAGUAAGACCCUAUCUCUACCCCCCUAAUAAAUUAAUUUAAAAAGCCCCC
rnacentral:lncRNA from 1 species